AGUGAACGCUGGCGGUAGGCCUAGCACAUGCAAGUCGAACGGCAGCACAGUAAGAGCUUGCUCUUACGGGUGGCGAGUGGCGGACGGGUGAGGAAUACAUCGGAAUCUACUUUUUCGUGGGGGAUAACGUAGGGAAACUUACGCUAAUACCGCAUACGACCUACGGGUGAAAGCAGGGGAUCUUCGGACCUUGCGCGAUUGAAUGAGCCGAUGUCGGAUUAGCUAGUUGGCGGGGUAAAGGCCCACCAAGGCGACGAUCCGUAGCUGGUCUGAGAGGAUGAUCAGCCACACUGGAACUGAGACACGGUCCAGACUCCUACGGGAGGCAGCAGUGGGGAAUAUUGGACAAUGGGCGCAAGCCUGAUCCAGCCAUACCGCGUGGGUGAAGAAGGCCUUCGGGUUGUAAAGCCCUUUUGUUGGGAAAGAAAAGCAGCAGGUUAAUACCCCGCUGUUCUGACGGUACCCAAAGAAUAAGCACCGGCUAACUUUGUG
rnacentral:rRNA from 1 species